UGGCGGCAUGCCUAACACAUGCAAGUCGAACGAGAUCCUUCGGGGUCUAGUGGCGCACGGGUGCGUAACGCGUGGGAAUCUGCCCUUAGGUUCGGAAUAACAGUUAGAAAUGACUGCUAAUACCGGAUGAUGACGUUAAGUCCAAAGAUUUAUCGCCUGAGGAUGAGCCCGCGUAGGAUUAGCUAGUUGGUGUGGUAAAGGCGCACCAAGGCGACGAUCCUUAGCUGGUCUGAGAGGAUGAUCAGCCACACUGGGACUGAGACACGGCCCAGACUCCUACGGGAGGCAGCAGUGGGGAAUAUUGGACAAUGGGCGCAAGCCUGAUCCAGCAAUGCCGCGUGAGUGAUGAAGGCCUUAGGGUUGUAAAGCUCUUUUACCCGGGGAUGAUAAUGACAGUACCGGGAGAAUAAGCCCCGGCUAACUCCGUGCCAGCAGCCGCGGUAAUAC
rnacentral:rRNA from 1 species